rnacentral:tRNA from 1 species
GAGGGUAUAACUCAGUGGUAGAGCACGUGCUUAGCAGGCACGAGGCCCUGGGUUCAGUCCCCAGCACCUCCA